AUCUAACAUCAUCAAAGCCUGCAAAAAUGCAAAACAAGCAUAUGACCAGAUGAUAAAAUCCCAGAUAACCAUUAUACGUCUAUUCUAAACUGGAAAACCAGUUGCACACAAGCUAAAAUAUGCCAUAGUGCUCUAGGAACACAUGCUCAGGGAUAAGUGACAUAAAAUAUGGAUGGCAAGAAGCACUUGAAGAUGCGAUGAUUGAGUAAUUAAAUGCAUGUUAGGAAAAUUCAUACUGCUUAAAAAUUUAACAUUUUAAAUUAUAUGGAAAAUGACAAAAGACAAUAAAGAAAUGAGAGGCUUUU
rnacentral:misc_RNA from 1 species